rnacentral:rRNA from 1 species
UACAGAGGUCCCGAGCGUUGUUCGGAUUCAUUGGGCGUAAAGGGUGCGUAGGCGGCGGGGCAAGUCUGAUGCGAAAUCCCGGGGCUCAACCCCGGAACUGCAUUGGAUACUGCCUUGCUCGAGUACUGGAGAGGGAACUGGAAUUUACGGUGUAGCAGUGAAAUGCGUAGAGAUCGUAAGGAAGGCCAGUGGCGAAGGCGAGUUCCUGGACAGUUACUGACGCUGAGGCACGAAGGCCAGGGGAGCAAACGGG